AUUGAACGCUGGCGGCAGGCUUAACACAUGCAAGUCGAGCGGGGUGAUGGUGCUUGCACUAUCACUUAGCGGCGGACGGGUGAGUAAUGCUUAGGAAUCUGCCUAUUAGUGGGGGACAACAUCUCGAAAGGGAUGCUAAUACCGCAUACGUCCUACGGGAGAAAGCAGGGGAUCACUUGUGACCUUGCGCUAAUAGAUGAGCCUAAGUCGGAUUAGCUAGUUGGUGGGGUAAAGGCCUACCGAGGCGACGAUCUGUAGCGGGUCUGAGAGGAUGAUCCGCCACACUGGGACUGAGACACGGCCCAGACUCCUACGGGAGGCAGCAGUGGGGAAUGUUGGACAAUGGGGGGAACCCUGAUCCAGCCAUGCCGCGUGUGUGAAGAAGGCCUUAUGGUUGUAAAGCACUUUAAGCGAGGAGGAGGCUCUUUUGGUUAAUACCCAAGAUGAGUGGACGUUACUCGCAGAAUAAGCACCGGCUAACUCUGUGCCAGCAGCCGCGGUAA
rnacentral:rRNA from 1 species